GCGAGCGGCGGAGGCGGCCGGCGGGAACCGGGAACAGCACAGGGGUUUCUGAAAAGCGUGAUCAGGAGUUGGAGCCCAGCGUUGGGAAGCACCGACAGUGUCACUGCUCUGCCCAAGGGACACAGGCACGUCAGCCGGCUGGACACCGGCAACCUGGGAAACACCUCAAUGUGGGUCAGCGCCAGCUUUGUGAAAUAGCAGCCUAUUUUUAGAUUCAGUUUGUCUGAAACUGUUUUAGUAUUUAACUAGUUGUCUUUCAACUGCAUGUUAUUGUUACAGAUUACAAGAGCCUGCAGAAGUUGUUUUUAAUGUAAAAAAUGAACAAUUGUGAGUCUCGUCAGUGAGUAUUGGCUUGUACAAAGGUAUGCUGGUUUGUGGUUUCACCUAAAUGGCCUGGUUUUAUCUAGUCUCUACAAACCAGAAGUGUUCAUGGUCACUGACUAGUGAGGUCUGUUACUCAGAACAUGACUAUAUUACCUUUCACUCCACCUGGCUUCACGUGGCUAUAAGACCAUGUCUGUGCUCGCAUAGUGUACUCAGCUUUUCUGGGCUAUAAAUAGAUCUGGGCUAUAUUUAUUUACAUUGCGGUUUGUGUUUACUGACUUAGGACACGUGUCUGGGGUGAACUUGCAGCUGUUUCUACUUCUCCAUAUAAAACUUCUUGAAAAUGUACUCAGAAUGCUAUAAAACAAGAAGAUGAUCCCAAGGUUAAUGGCCGCUUGGAAUAUUGUUUAUUUGUUGCAAUGUUAGGAAGGUUUUGAGGAAAAAAGAAAUAAAGUCAACACACCUUCUCUCACUAAUAAAGCUUGAGGAAUUUGCUCUGGAUAGAGUUCUGAGAUUAAACAGCUCUUUAUGUGCUUUAAGCCACGCUGUUUUGUUUUUGUGUUUGUGUUGUUUGGGUUUUCUCCCUCCAACAAUACAUGCAUCUGUUUACUGUUUCAUUGCACAUUAAACUGAUCAGGAUUUUAAGAUCAGUUACUUUGUGCUGCAACAUCCUUGCAGUUCCGUAGCACAGUAGUUUACACUGAAAAUAAGUCAGUGGCAGUUUCUUUGAAAUGAUGUAAGAAAAAAUAAUUUAGCUCAGGAAACCUAAUCUAAAAGGAUUUUUUUCUUUUUGAGGAAAAGAAAGUUAAGAUGCAGUUCCUGUAUUUCAUGGUCUGAGGUGACAAGAGAUACUUGGGAGUAUUACAGACAGGUAGAUUCCAAAGGUCUCUUAUUUCAUAUAACAUAGAGCAGAGUAAGAAAUAUUUAUAGGGGAGAGAGAGAAAAGUGCAUAGUUACAAAGAGCCAACUAGGGAACUUAUGGAAUAAGUGGAUUGAGGAAACAGAAAGAGAUGAGAUUCCUAAAGAACUUAAAAAAUAAGAAAAAAAGUAAAUGUUUGAAAAGAGAAAUCUGUGGGGUAUAUUCAGAAGAGACUGAUACUAUUAGUAUCACCAUUGUUGCAGUAUUAGGAAGAUUAAUACAACUUUUAUGAUAAGAGGCUAUAAUAGGACAAAGUUUGAAUAUAUUUUUGAAGAAGUGGGAGUAAAAAAUAAAAUGUGGGCAUGGCCUGAAUGUCCAGUUCUUACCUAGUUGACUAUUAUUAAUAGUUUUAAUAGGCAGUUAUGCAUUAAACCAGGCAAUUUCAAGAUACUGAAGUUUCAAAAAUCAAAAUGGUGAGUUCUACCUUAUAAAUACUUUUUUUGCCCCAAGUACAAUAGUGAAAAAAAAUCCUGAUUAACUUUAUUUAUGUAAAAGUGUAAAUACUUGAUAUGCUUUGUUAGCCAUUUUUGUCAAGAAGGAGAAUCGUAAUAUGAUGAGGAAGCAGUUUUUUACCUCUGAUCAUCUUUGUCAACCUUCCUGUACGUAUAAAAAUACCAUUAUAUUAUUUUUUAGCCACAGGGACCAGAACAGGGACUAGUUUUCAACAUGCAGUCACACAGUUCCAUGUAUCACUUUGAAGUGGUUCAUAUUAAGUUCUUGCAAGUACACGGGUUCUGGUUUGAGAAUGCUACUUCUAUGGGAUUCAAGAAAAUUAAACUUUAAAAUAUUACUCUUAUGUUUGAAAUACAUACAUUUUGUAACAACUAAUAUAAAUAUUACUCAAAGACUAAAUAAAAAUAAUUGUUACCAA